GACUAUUGGAGUUCUCUCGCUAUUCUCACUCGGUGACGGUGCGGCGAGGCAAUCGACGGCGCGGUCCACCUAUCUCCGGCAUCGCUUCUUCGCCUCAGUUUCUCCCUCUCGCUUUCGAUCUCUUCUUGCUUCCCUCUCCGAUUUCACUUUCUUCGAUCUUUCUUCUUCUUUGAACACGUUGCGGUCUUGUUAUUUGCGGAGUCGACGAAGCAUGAAGGUGAUUGAUGAUGUCGAGGACUCGAUAAGAAGCCGAGGUGAAGAUAAUGUCGCUGUGGUUGAAGAUAAAGCGAAGAUGAUGAUAUCGCUUGAUGAAGAUUGAGCCACAAUUGAAGAAUCAAGAUGAUGAACGAAGUUGUUGAAUGAUAGUUGUUAGUUGAAGAUUAUGGUAGAUUGAAUUGAGGGAGAUGAUGGCGAGUUCUGCAGAAUUGUGGUUAUCAAUGGAGAUUGAAGGUGGUGAAGUAGCAUUAAGAUGAUACUCUGUUGAAUCGAUGGAGGUGAGUUGAAGCGAGGAUGAAAGGAUGGUGGAGAAUGAGCUUUGAAGAAUGGUGGUUAUGUGAAGAAUUGGGAAAGGAUUGAAGAUGAUAUGUGAAAGAGAUGAAGAGUGAAGGUUCAGAGAGAUUGGUGGGAGAAGAAUGAGUUGAGAGAUUAUGAAUGGAAAAGUGGAAAAUUGUGGAGGAGUCGAGAGUUCAGAAGCUGAUGAAUAUAUAUAGGUUUUGGUUGGGACCGUUGACGGCAUGUACGGCAUGGCUGCAGCAAGAUGGCAUGGCCGCGGUUAUGCUUGAAAGCUGGAAGAGGAGGAUGGUCUUAGGCACGCAAGGAGUUGGUAUUAAUAUGAUGAAUAUCGUGAAGAAGAAACGACACGAGAGGCGGCAUCAAGGUUGAAGCAGAUUAUGGGACCAGCAACGGACUUUUGUAAACUGGAGGUUGAAGUGUAACUUUUAGAAAUAGGCGUGGGUUUUUUGUUUUUGUUUAUGUAAUACUUUUCUGUGUAUGUAUAGUAGCAGCAAUUGGAUGAUAUGGCUUGAAAAACUAUAACGGACAGAACCAACCUCUUCCUUUCCUUUUUAAUCGAAUUUCAACUUCCUCUUUUUUUCUAA